rnacentral:rRNA from 1 species
CGGGUGCACUGAUCCGGCCGGGCCUUUCCCUCUGUGGAACCCCAUGGCCUUCACUGGCUGUGCGGGGGAAACAGGACUUUUACUGUGAAAAAAUUAGAGUGCUCCAGGCAGGCCUAUGCUCGAAUACAUUAGCAUGGAAUAAUAGAAUAGGACGCGUGGUUCUAUUUUGUUGGUUUCUAGGACCGCCGUAAUGAUUAAUAGGGACAGUCGGGGGCAUCAGUAUUCAAUUGUCAGAGGUGAAAUUCUUGGAUCUAUUGAAGACUAACUACUGCGAAAGCAUUUGCCAAGGAUGUUUUCAUUGAUAAGGAACGAAAGUUAGGGGAUCGAAGACGAUCAGAUACCGUCGUAGUCUUAACUAUAAACUAUGCCGACUAGGGAUCGGACGAUGUUAUUUCUUGACGCGUUCGGCACCUUUCGAGAAAUCAAAGUGCUUGGGCUCCAGGGGGAGUAUGGUCGCAAGGCUGAAACUUAAAGAAAUUGACGGAAGGGCACCACCAGGGGUGGAACCUGCGGCUUAAUUUGACUCAACACGGGGAAACUCACCAGGUCCAGACACAGUGAGGAUUGACAGAUUGAGAGCUCUUUCUUGAUUCUGUGGGUGGUGGUGCAUGGCCGUUCUUAGUUGGUGGAGUGAUUUGUCUGCUUAAUUGCGAUAACGAACGAGACCUUAACCUGCUAAAUAGCCCGUACUGCUCUGGCAGCUCGCCGGCUUCUUAGAGGGACUAUCGG